rnacentral:rRNA from 1 species
GACGAACGCUGGCGGCGUGCCUAAUACAUGCAAGUCGACCUUAGUGGCGGACGGGUGAGUAAUGCCUAGGAAUCUGCCUGGUAGUGGGGGAUAACGUCCGGAAACGGGCGCUAAUAUCGCAUACUAUCAGAUGAGCCUAGGUCGGAUUAGCUAGUUGGUGGGGUAAAGGCCUACCAAGGCUACGAUCCGUAACUGGUCUGAGGGGGUGAUCGGUCACAGUGGAACUGAGACACGGUCCAGAUUGCUACGGGAGGCAGCAGGGGGGAAUAGUGGACAAUGGGCGAAAGCCUGUUCCAGCAAUGCCGCGUGUGUGAAGAAGGUAUGCGGAUGGUAAAGCGCUUUAAGUUGGGAGGCGGUACCAACAGAAUAAGCCCCGGCUAACUUCGUGCCAGCCGCCGCGGUAAUAC